rnacentral:rRNA from 1 species
UGGGGAAUAUUGCACAAUGGGGGAAACCCUGAUGCAGCGACGCCGCGUGAGCGAAGAAGUAUUUCGGUAUGUAAAGCUCUAUCAGCAGGGAAGAUAAUGACGGUACCUGACUAAGAAGCCCCGGCUAACUACGUGCCAGCAGCCGCGGUAAUACGUAGGGGGCAAGCGUUAUCCGGAUUUACUGGGUGUAAAGGGAGCGUAGACGGCGAAGCAAGUCUGGUGUGAAAACCCGGGGCUCAACCCCGGGCCUGCAUUGGAAACUGUUUGCUUGAGUGCCGGAGAGGUAAGCGGAAUUCCUAGUGUAGCGGUGAAAUGCGUAGAUAUUGGGAGGAACACCAGUGGCGAAGGCGCCUUUCUGGACUGUGUCUGACGCUGAGAUGCGAAAGCCAGGGUAGCGAACAGGAUUAGAUACCC